AAAAAUUAUUAUACUUUUGUAUACAUAAAUUACAUUAAAAGAAAAGAAUUCCUUGAUAUAGGAACCAUAAAAAGAAUCACAAGUGAAUUGUUGCAACUUGUUUGCUUGUGCUUUUCAAAGGCAGCUAUCUCAUAAAUUUCCUUCAUCCCAACCAGCCUUCACUAUGUAUAUUGUAGCUGGUAUGUUUCAAUAUUAUCUGCCUUACCCUGAGGCUCAGUCUUGGAAGUUUCAUCACCAUACAUCACGCAGAUACCUGCCGGUCGUUUGUAGAUUCUUCACCAUGCUCUCAGCUUUCGAACUAUCGAGAGAUCCCUGCUCUUGCACAAUGGUGUGAAGCGUUCUGUGGACAUCUCUAGCCAUGCCUUUGGCAUCACCGCAAACAUAUAUAUAUCCUCCCUGAGAAAUUAUGUUCCAGAUUUCUGAAGCCUUCUCCAACAUUUUAUGCUGCACAUAUUGCUUGGUAGGUCCCUCACGUGAAAAAGCAACAAUCAACUCAGAAAGUGCACCACUUUCAACAAAGUUGUUGAGCUCAUCUUUAUAGAUGUAAUCCAUCUUACUGUUCCUGCAACCAAAGAAUAAUAUAGAGGAUCCCAAUUCUGCUCC
rnacentral:misc_RNA from 1 species